rnacentral:lncRNA from 1 species
GGCUUCUCUUGUAUAUACUACUGCACAAUGUUUUUGUAAAAGAUACACUCAAUUUGAGCGAUUUUCUGGACAAUAUUUAAAUUGGAUGGUUAGACACCGCACCUUUAAAUGGAAAAUGAAGGAGAUUGGUCUAUGAUCUAAACGGAAAUAGAAAUGUCACACAAAAAAAUGCGCAUUGAACAGCACUAAAAGUCCUCCUGUUAUUGACCCUCAUGCUCGUAAAUACGGUUCAUUCCACAAAAGAUAAUCAAGUGCCUACUAUGGAAUUCACCAAACUUUGAUCUGCUUAUUCUGCAAUUAACAAAAUUUUAAUUUGUGGAGUUCUCAAUUUACAAAAUAAAUGUUUACUUCAAACCCUUCAGCGACAUUACUCCCCCACUCCCAACUCCUACCGCUGACGACAUUAAUUAAAGAGCUUAGGGAUCUUCAGAUUCAUACCUUCAUUCCUUCUAGGUCGAUUCAGUCUGUUACGGCGGUUACCGCUCUUCAGAUGCCUCCUCCCACCCACUCACCCAAGCCCAGAGAACCAGUCCACAGAACCACAAGCUUCCCCAAACUUUGGAAUUUCAAGCUGCACCUUCAUUCACCUACUGAGGGGCAGUCCUGCUUUGCUACAGUAUUUACCCUCGGGGCUCAAAUCAACUAGCCCCUCAGAGAAAAAUUGCAGUGCAUCUCGAGUUUAAUUGGCUUCUUUCUUCCUUUUAAGUUAAAAGCUGCGCUUUUUACAGAUCGAUGCACUUUUUGAAUUGCGGAUGUGAUAAGAUCUGGGAAAUGUGCCCUCGGCUACUAGAAGGGGGAAGGAGGCGGGGGAAUCGAGUAACUUUCCCUCUGCCCUUCAACCACAGAAGGCCUGGCGGGACGUCUCCAGGAGAGGUGCACAUCAGCAAGAAAACCAGAGCACAAUGCAGAGAAAAGCUGCCGCCAGGAGAAGGACGGAGACGGCUGCUGCUACCACCACUGCGCCCGCCUUCUUUGCGACCCUCCUCUCUGGGUUGUUAUUUUACCUUCAGCCCUGGAACCCCGUCUUCUCUCUCUCUCUCUUUCUCUCUCUCUCUCUCUCUCUCUCUCUCUCUCUCCCCCUCUGGAUUCCAGGGAAUUGAAGGGGUAGGAGAGGGUUUCCUCGUUGCCAAAGGGAGAAGCGGGCGCAGCUUCAAAUCCACGGGAGGUAACUCCAAAGGCGGUGCAACGUGAACGAACCGCGCAGUGCCACGGACCCAGUAAGAGACGCAAUCGGCCUGCCUCAGCCGCACAUAAAAAGCCCCCUCAUGUAUGGAGCAAUGCUCUCCGCAACAAGCGUCCUGCUGGGGGCCUGGCACUAGCUGAGUAUGGGAGUGGGUGGCCCCCUAGCGUCCGCUGGACGCUGUGGCAGCCCCAUCACGGAUUAGAGGCAAACCAAGAAAUUAUCACUAUAGUUGGCCCGCCUCUCAUGGAUCUGAGAGGAGAGACAGGAGCAGGCUCACCUCUUAGAAAGAAGUUACUUUGUAGCAAUCAUGACCCACCUCCAUGAGACUAAAUUGUCACAGCUUUCUAUUGUUCUUUUGGUUCCAGUUUCACCUCUGUCGUCUGACCUUUAUAAUCUUCCCAAAGGCAUGGGUUUGAUCAUUUUACUCCCCUACCACCAAAACUUUCAACUGACUCCUCAUUGCCUAUAAAAUGAAAUACAAAAUCGUUAGAUUGGUAUUUAAGGCUCUCCACAACCUGCCUCCAACCUAAUUUUUUUUAAAAUAAUUUAUUUUUUUCUCCCUCAUACCAUGCCCCUCCCGAAAAAAAAAAACUUUUGUAACCAAUAUUCAGUCAAGCAAAACAAAUUCACACAUGGGCUAUAUCCAAAAAUGUGUGUGUGUGUGUGUUGUGUGUGUGUCUGUGUCUGUGUCUGUGUGUCUGUGUGUGUGACUCUGCUGUUCCCACUCCAUCAGCUCUCAGGCCAAAAGUAGCCUCAGUUUUCUUGAAUGGUGAUUGCUCACUGUAUUGAUUAGAGUUGUUAAAUCUUUCCAAGUUGUCUUUAUAAUUUACAAUCUGUAUUUGCAGCUUCCUUACAUACAACUCCCCUUCAUAAACACUGGCUUCCAACCAAACUGAACGGCUAACCAUUCCCAGAGCUCAUACCCCAUUUCCCACCUCCUUCAUUCAGACAAGCCAUGCCCUACACUUGGAGGUAGUACCCCAUCAUCUCUCCUUCUCAGAAUCCUGU